AAGGCCUUAGCUUAGUUUAAAGUGUCUGUUUUGCAUAUAGGAGAGGUGGGUUAAAUUCCCGCAGGUCUUA
rnacentral:tRNA from 1 species